AUAGACAUGACAGCUCCCAUUCAGCUCCUGGGGCUGCUGCUGCUGCUCUGGAUCCCAGGUGCCAGAUGUGAAAUCCUGAUGACCCAUUCUCCACUCUCCCCAUCUGCAUCUCCAGGAGACAGAAUCACCAUCAGUUGCAAGGCUAGUCAGAGCAUUGGCAAUUAUUUAGCCUGGUAUCAGCAGAAACCAGGGAAAGCUCAUAAGCUCCUGAUAUACGGUGCUAACAGUUUGGCAUCUGGGGUGCCCUCAAGGUUCAGUGGCAGUGGAUCUGGGACAGAUUUCACUCUCACAAUCAACAGCCUGGAGCCUGAAGAUUUUGAAAGUUAUUACUGUCAACAGGCUAAUAGUAACCCUCCCACAGUGAAACAAGUUAUAACAUAA